rnacentral:rRNA from 1 species
AUUGAACGCUGGCGGCAUGCUUUACACAUGCAAGUCGAACGGUAACAGGUUAAGCUGACGAGUGGCGAACGGGUGAGUAAUGCAUCGGAACGUGCCCGGUCGUGGGGGAUAACACUUCGAAAGGAGUGCUAAUACCGCAUACGAUCUGAGGAUGAAAGCGGGGGACCGUAAGGCCUCGCGCGAUCGGAGCGGCCGAUGUCAGAUUAGGUAGUUGGUGGGGUAAAGGCUCACCAAGCCGACGAUCUGUAGCUGGUCUGAGAGGACGACCAGCCACACUGGGACUGAGACACGGCCCAGACUCCUACGGGAGGCAGCAGUGGGGAAUUUUGGACAAUGGGCGCAAGCCUGAUCCAGCAAUGCCGCGUGCAGGAAGAAGUCCUUCGGGUUGUAAACCGCUUUUGUACGGAGCGAAAAGGCUCCCUCUAAUACAGGGGGGUCAUGACGGUACCGUAAGAAUAAGCACCGGCUAACUACGUGCCAGCCGCCGCCGUAA